rnacentral:sRNA from 1 species
GCCGGGCACAGUGGCAUGUACCUGUAAUCCCAGCAACUCCGGAGGCUAAGGCAGGAGGAUCACAAGUUUGAGGCCAACCUUGUCAGCUUAAGCAACUUAAUGAGACCCUAUCUCAA